rnacentral:rRNA from 1 species
AUGGAUCCGCGCUGCAUUAGCUAGUUGGUAAGGUAACGGCUUACCAAGGCAACGAUGCAUAGCCGACCUGAGAGGGUGAUCGGCCACACUGGAACUGAGACACGGUCCAGACUCCUACGGGAGGCAGCAGUAGGGAAUCUUCCGCAAUGGGCGAAAGCCUGACGGAGCAACGCCGCGUGAGUGAUGAAGGUCUUCGGAUCGUAAAACUCUGUUAUUAGGGAAGAACAUAUGUGUAAGUAACUGUGCACAUCUUGA